GUAAAAACAAAUUAAGGUAAGAAAAUAUUGAUGAAUCCCGAUUUUGUACGUAAACCGUGCGUACGCAGCGUUCCCGCCUCAUUUCCGCCCCCUGGUGUUCAACGCAGGAAAUGCGUCUAUUUACGUACGGAUAGAAACGCCUCGUCGCCGCCGAAAUGGGAGUUGAGUUCAUUUAUUUCCUGUCCAGGCUUGUGGAAAAUAAACGUGGAACAGUUUGGAGAAACAACAGCACCAAUAAUAAUACAUGGCGGCAAAUAAUGAGGAGGAUGGCUGUCAGGUGUGUUGCCAGUGAACAGACAAUCCAAAAAGACAAACAUUCUUCAUGAACUGAAGUCACUGGACUCCAUGUUUAACAACGCAUCGCGACAACGGUGGAACGGCGCCGACUGCCCCUUCUUACACAACUCUCACUCUGGUACUGUUGCAGCUGACCAGCACACUGGGAACUCGCAGAUGAUGACUCUCUUCGAGGAUGCUCUGCUCCAUGGAGCUCUUGGCCAGACCAAAGGUACGUAACAUGGCCAUGGCAAAACGCCGCUGUCUCCUCCACACAUUCCC